GUCCACGCCCUAAACGAUGUCAACUAGUUGUCGGGUCUUAACGGACUUGGUAACGCAGCUAACGCGUGAAGUUGACCGCCUGGGGAGUACGGUCGCAAGAUUAAAACUCAAAGGAAUUGACGGGGACCCGCACAAGCGGUGGAUUAUGUGGAUUAAUUCGAUGCAACGCGAAAACCUUACCUACCCUUGACAUGUAUCGAAGCUUGCUGAAAGGCGAGUGUGCCCGAAAGGGAACGGUAACACAGGUGCUGCAUGGCUGUCGU
rnacentral:rRNA from 1 species